rnacentral:rRNA from 1 species
CGGAGAGGGAGCCUGAGAAACGGCUACCACAUCUAAGGAUGGCAGCAGGCGCGCAAAUUGCCCAAUAGCAACACUGCUGAGGCGCAGCGAAGAGAAAUAGCAACUUCAUGCGGCCCUGCCGUGUGAAGAUUGCAAUGGAUGAUAUUUAAACCUAUCAGUGAGUAUCGAUUGGUGGACAAGUCUGGUGCCAGCACCCGCGGUAAUUCCAGCACCAAUAGCGUAUAUUAAUGCUGCUGCUGUUAAAAAGCUCGUAGUUGGAUCAAGAGCUGGACUGUGCACGGUGGCCCCGUUAGUCAUGGUGGGUCCUGCUCAUCCUGACGGCGGCGGAACAACCCCGCGCAUUACGCAGUCCACUCUAGCAGGCCGAAACGGUUCCCUGUGAGUAGGCCCCUUCAUUGGGGUCGAAAGCGCCAACGCAUCAACCAUAUGCAUACGGGACGUCGGCCAAAGUUACUGUGAACAAACCAGCGUGUCCAAAGCAGGCCUUCGCCUGAAUGUUCGAGCAUGGAAUAACAAGGGAUCGAUUCUCUCGGUUCUUUUUGUUGGUUUUUAACCCGAGAAGGAGUAAUUCAGUCCACGGUGUCUGAGUUGGGUUACCCUAGGUCUAGGCUUAGGCCCCAAUUAGGCCGUGUGCUUACGGGAUCAAUAGGGACUGACGGGGUCGUACGUACUUCCGCGUCAGAGGUGAAAUUCUUAGAUCGCGGGAAGACGAACUUCUGCGAAAGCAUUCGACAAGAAUGUCUUCAUUAAUCAAGAACGAGAGUGUGGGGAUCGAAGAUGAUCAGAUACCGUCGUAGUCCACUACUGUAAACAAUGCCGUCUCAGGAUUGAGAAGUGAACUGAAUGACUUUCACAGCACUAACCCCUGAAACGAGAAAUCAAAGAUUAUGGGUUCAGGGGGGAGUACAUUCGCAAGGCUGAAACUUAAAGGAAUUGACGGAAUGACACCACAAGGCGUGGAGUAUGCGGCUUAAUUUGACUCAACACGGGGAAUUUUACUAGGUCAGGACAAUGUAAGGAUUGACAGAUUGAGAGCUCUUUCUCGAUCCAUUGUGUGGUGGUGCAUGGCCGCUCCUGGUUGGUGGAGUGAUUUGUCUGGUUGAUUCCGUUAACGAACGAGAUCUCGACCCUUAAAUAGGUGAGCCCGUUGUCCUUUUGGCAAGAGAGUGCUUCCUGCCCUUCUUGGAUGGGACGAGACAGGGCAGCUACUUCUUAAGGGGACUGCGUGCGCUUCUAGUACGCGGAAGAGCGAGCCAAUAGCAGGUCUGUGAUGCUCCUAAAUGUCCUAGGCUGCACGCGCACUACACUGACGCAUUAAACGAGUCUGUUUGCCUUACGGCAACCUAUCUUGAAGAGGAUGGGAAACCUUUUGAACUUGCGUCGUGAUGAGGAUCGAUGAUUGCAAUUAUUCUCCUUGAAUGAGGAAUGCCUAGUAGGCGCAAGUCAUCAGCUUGCACUGAUUACGUCCCUGCCAUUUGUACACACCGCCCGUCGUUGCUACCGAUUGGCUGUAGGGUAGAGAUCGGCGGAUCUCGAGCAGUUGGGGCGACUCUUCUGUUUGGGAGAAACCGAUCAAUAUUCUGCAGCUAGAAGAAGCAAAAGUCGUAACAAGG